rnacentral:rRNA from 1 species
GUCGAGCGGACAGAUGGGAGCUUGCUCCCUGAUGUUAGCGGCGGACGGGUGAGUAACACGUGGGUAACCUGCCUGUAAGACUGGGAUAACUCCGGGAAACCGGGGCUAAUACCGGAUGGUUGUUUGAACCGCAUGGUUCAGACAUAAAAGGUGGCUUCGGCUACCACUUACAGAUGGACCCGCGGCGCAUUAGCUAGUUGGUGAGGUAACGGCUCACCAAGGCGACGAUGCGUAGCCGACCUGAGAGGGUGAUCGGCCACACUGGGACUGAGACACGGCCCAGACUCCUACGGGAGGCAGCAGUAGGGAAUCUUCCGCAAUGGACGAAAGUCUGACGGAGCAACGCCGCGUGAGUGAUGAAGGUUUUCGGAUCGUAAAGCUCUGUUGUUAGGGAAGAACAAGUGCCGUUCAAAUAGGGCGGCACCUUGACGGUACCUAACCAGAAAGCCACGGCUAACUACGUGCCAGCAGCCGCGGUAAUACGUAGGUGGCAAGCGUUGUCCGGAAUUAUUGGGCGUAAAGGGCUCGCAGGCGGUUUCUUAAGUCUGAUGUGAAAGCCCCCGGCUCAACCGGGGAGGGUCAUUGGAAACUGGGGAACUUGAGUGCAGAAGAGGAGAGUGGAAUUCCACGUGUAGCGGUGAAAUGCGUAGAGAUGUGGAGGAACACCAGUGGCGAAGGCGACUCUCUGGUCUGUAACUGACGCUGAGGAGCGAAAGCGUGGGGAGCGAACAGGAUUAGAUACCCUGUAGUCCACGCCGUAAACGAUGAGUGCUAAGUGUUAGGGGUUUCCGCCCCUUAGUGCUGCAGCUAACGCAUUAAGCACUCCGCUGGGGAG